CAGGACUUCUCCCACUCUGGGCUCUGGCUGGAGCCACCACGGCAGAGCUGGCCUUGGACCCAGCCGGCAGAAGCACAGGCCAAGUGCCAGCUGCUCCCCAGGCGCUUAGGGGAAAAUGUCCAGGCACCUGGACCUGAAAGGUCCCCCUCUGGCUUCUGUGUUGGGUGUUCAGAAGUUUCUAAUCUUCCCUUUUCUGGGAGACCCAAGACUCUGGACCCCAAGGGUUUGGUGGGAUCCUGCUGCCACCUUCCUCUGGCCCUGCUCAUGCCCUCCAGCCAGGGCCCCAGCCCUCCCCAAGGUC
rnacentral:lncRNA from 1 species